CGUCACUCCCUUCUUGUGCUUCUCACUUGUUUGGCCAAUAAAAAAACACAAGGUUUGGAGUUUUGGAUCUUUGGUUUUCUUGGAUAAUUAGAGAAACAAUUUCUUUAUUUUAAAUUCAAGAGUCAUAACUUCUAAUGUCUCUUGAAUUUCUUAGAAGAAAAGAGGAAGGAUAAUUAUUUUCUUGGCUUGAGAGAAAAUAAGAAGAAAAAGAAGAAGAAG
rnacentral:misc_RNA from 1 species